rnacentral:rRNA from 1 species
UACGAAGGGUGCAAACGUUGCUCGGAAUUAUUGGGCGUAAAGCGCACGUAGGCGGCAUUGCAAGUCGGAUGUGAAAUCCCUCGGCUUAACCAAGGAAGUGCAUCCGAAACUGCAGUGCUUGAGUACUUAAGAGGAUCGCGGAAUUCCCGGUGUAGAGGUGAAAUUCGUAGAUAUCGGAAGGAACACCAGUGGCGAAAGCGGCUUCCUGGUCCAGCACCGACGUUCAGGCACGAAAGCGUGGGGAGCAAACAGG